GUCAUCCUACGGGACGCAGCAGUCGGGAAUAUUGCGCAAUGGAGGAAACUCUGACGCAGUGACGCCGCGUAUAGGAAGAAGGUUUUCGGAUUGUAAACUAUUGUCGUUAGGGAAGAUAAAAGACAGUACCUAAGGAGGAAGCUCCGGCUAACUACGUGCCAGCAGCCGCGGUAAUACGUAGGGAGCGAGCGUUGUCCGGAAUUACUGGGUGUAAAGGGAGCGUAGGCGGGACGGCAAGUCAGAUGUGA
rnacentral:rRNA from 1 species